rnacentral:rRNA from 1 species
AGCCUAACACAUGCAAGUCGAGCGGAUGACGGGAGCUUGCUCCUUGAUUCAGCGGCGGACGGGUGAGUAAUGCCUAGGAAUCUGCCUGGUAGUGGGGGACAACGUUUCGAAAGGAACGCUAAUACCGCAUACGUCCUACGGGAGAAAGCAGGGGACUUUCGGGCCUUGCGCUAUCAGAUGAGCCUAGGUCGGAUUAGCUAGUUGGUGGGGUAAUGGCUCACCAAGGCGACGAUCCGUAACUGGUCUGAGAGGAUGAUCAGUCACACUGGAACUGAGACACGGUCCAGACUCCUACGGGAGGCAGCAGUGGGGAAUAUUGGACAAUGGGCGAAAGCCUGAUCCAGCCAUGCCGCGUGUGUGAAGAAGGUCUUCGGAUUGUAAAGCACUUUAAGUUGGGAGGAAGGGCAGUAAGUUAAUACCUUGCUGUUUUGACGUUACCGACAGAAUAAGCACCGGCUAACUCUGUGCCAGCAGCCGCGGUAAUACAGAGGGUGCAAGCGUUAAUCGGAAUUACUGGGCGUAAAGCGCGCGUAGGUGGUUUGUUAAGUUGGAUGUGAAAGCCCCGGGCUCAACCUGGGAACUGCAUCCAAAACUGGCAAGCUAGAGUACGGUAGAGGGUGGUGGAAUUUCCUGUGUAGCGGUGAAAUGCGUAGAUAUAGGAAGGAACACCAGUGGCGAAGGCGACCACCUGGACUGAUACUGACACUGAGGUGCGAAAGCGUGGGGAGCAAACAGGAUUAGAUACCCUGGUAGUCCACGCCGUAAACGAUGUCAACUAGCCGUUGGAAUCCUUGAGAUUUUAGUGGCGCAGCUAACGCACUAAGUGACCUCUUGAACCCUCAUGUAUGG